UUAACUGUUUCUAUAAAAAAUAUUUUACAAUUUUCAUCUUAUACAUAUUUUUAAAUUUUUAAUUAAUUAUUUGAGCAAUUAUUUUAAAUGAUCGAUUAUCGAUCGUAUUGAUAUCGUAAAAGAUUCAUGUUGUAAAUGGUUUCCUGUCAAAUUUACAUUUAUGUAAAAAUUAUACUAUGAAUAUAUUAUUCUAUCUUUGGAACUUAUUAUUUUUAUUUAUAAAUGAAAUACAUAAAUUUUAACAAGUAUUUCAGUCAAUUAAUAAAUAAAUUACGUAUGUUAAUUCUUGAACAUUAGUUAUCAUAAAUUUUAACCUCUACAAAACGACAUUUCUCAAAAGCGUCGAUGAAUGUAAUGUCAUGAAUUGUUAUACGAAUAUGCAACGUAAUAAUGGUGUUUUGAAAAUUAAUGUGCCGAAUGCAAGGUUAGAUUGGAAUAUGACGUUUGUUCUGAAACUAUUAUAAUUUUUAUCUUCUUUAUUUUUGAUAAAUCCAUUGAGAAAUCCAAGAGGAAUAUCAAUAUCAAAAGUUAUAACAGAAUUUUGUAUGAUUAAAACAAUUAUGAAAACAAUGGCAUCCGAGAAUUUUUUUGGAAGUGGUGGCACAUUUCAUCGUGCUUUGAUGUUUAUGCUCAAACUUGGUUGGCAAUCACGGUUUCGUCUCCCAAUUCUACUAGUUAUUGUACUUGUCGCUAUGGAUUACAGACUUCAAUUAGAAAUUGAAUUUGAAGUUAAUCCUGAGCAACAUAAUCAUUUGUGAUUUAAGGAAAAUUAUUUAUAAGUUAAUUCUAGAUUAUAUCAUUGAAGAAAAUUUUAAAUCAUCAUAGAAAGUGCAAAAAGCUAUUUUUCACUCUAUAAUAAGAAUUUCAAGGAUCAAAGGGUAUUGUUGAUACUUUUAUUCAUAUACUUUUGUUAUAGUUUCUAAUUGUUGCAGAUUGAUGCUGUGUUAGAAUUAUAUAGGCUAAGAAAAUUAUUAACUAGUAUUAAUUAAUAUUUUUAAUUAUUCGUAUAUACAUCAUACUUAGAAAGAAGAGAUAAUAUAUAAGUUUUUGACAAUGAUUCAGUCAAAUAUAAAAUAUCAAUUUGAAUCAAUCAUUGUAUAAUAUUAUAUAAUUUUUACUUUUUGCUUUAUUCAUUAUAAGUUUUAAAUAUACAGUAGUCCCUCGGUUGUUUGAUUUAAUAAAAACAAAAAAAUUUGUAAUAAUUAAGGGGAUCAAAAAAUCAGGGAAUUUUAUUUCUUAGACCAAUAGAUACAUAUAAACAUAUCAUGGUAUAGUUUUUAAGAUAUGAUAUAUGCAUUAUUUAAUAUAUAUUUAGAAAAUAAAUGUUAAAUAUUUAUUGAGUUGAAUUUUUAAUAGAAAUGUGAAUAAUUCAACAAUAUAUAAUUCAAUUAUAUUUCAACAAUUUUUAUUUUUAUUUUAAGAAUAGAUUUGAUUAUAUGAUUUCUUUUUAUUUUAUAGUCAGAAUAAUUCAUAAAUUGAAUAAUCGAAGGACUACUAUAAUUGUUUUAUAUUUAUUCAUUUAUAAUAUAAUAUAAUGUGUAACUUUUAAUAUUAUAUUAAGUUACAUAUCUCUGAGACUGAUAUUUAAACAAAUAUCUUUAUUGAAAUAUGAAAAAGAUGUAAUAAAUGUGAUCAAAUAAUAUAAAAUGGUACAGUUAAUAAAUAAUCAAAUUCCUUUGCACUGUACCUAUUAUCAUAUAUUUAGUCAUCAAAAAUAUCCAUACAAAUUAUGCAAAUAUAUCUAUUUUUGCUAUUAAAACAUUAGAAAAUCUAUUUAAAAAUAUGUUAAUAGUUUAUUCAAAAGAUUUAAUGAUUAUAAAAGGCUGAUGAAAUAUUAACAUAAUUUUAAUUCUUUCAAUGUAUGUAAUUUUUUUUUUUUAUUAAAUAUUUCAUAUUCAAGUAGAUUUUUGAAACUUGAUAAUAUUAAGUAAAUAUACAUUCUAUAUAAUUUCAUUUUUCACAAAUGCUAAUUUAAAUAAAAAAUAGUAUGUAAUUAAAUUUUUUAAGUAAAAUAAAUAUAAUUUAGAUUAAUAAUUAUAGAAAUAUAUUUUUUACAAAUAUUUUAUAAAAACAGAGAAAGAUUAUUUCAUUUAUUUCGUGUUAUUAUUUAAAUAUGUUAUUUCAUACAAUACUUCAAUUUUUGUCAAAUAUUAUUAUAUUCACGAAUUUCAAUUUAAUGUUAACUGUAAUAUAUGAGAAUUAGAUUAUUACAUAUGCUAUGUAUGUAGAUUUAAAAUAAAUAUUAUAUGAUUAGAUAAUAUCAAUUAUUAUAAAUAAAUAAUAACAAUUCUCGAUUCUAAUAUUUAACAUUUUAAAUAAAUGUUGAAACUCGUUAAUGUUACAAUUCACAUUAUAAACGAUUUGUAAGCAUUCAUCGUAAUUGUAAAUGUAAACAGUUGUGUAUUCAAUAUUACUAAAAUAAAAAACUAAAAGAUUAUUUUUAUAAA